AGAGUUUGAUCCUGGCUCAGGACGAACGCUGGCGGCACGCUUAACACAUGCAAGUCGAACGAGAGAAGAGGAGCUUGCUUUUCUGAUCUAGUGGCGGACGGGUGAGUAACACGUGAGCAAUCUGCCUUUCAGAGGGGGAUACCGAUUGGAAACGAUCGUUAAUACCGCAUAACAUAAUUGAACCGCAUGAUUUGAUUAUCAAAGAUUUAUCGCUGAAAGAUGAGCUCGCGUCUGAUUAGCUAGUUGGUAAGGUAACGGCUUACCAAGGCGACGAUCAGUAGCCGGACUGAGAGGUUGAUCGGCCACAUUGGGACUGAGACACGGCCCAGACUCCUACGGGAGGCAGCAGUGGGGAAUAUUGCACAAUGGAGGAAACUCUGAUGCAGCGAUGCCGCGUGAGGGAAGAAGGUUUUAGGAUUGUAAACCUCUGUCUUCAGGGAUGAAAAAAGACGGUACCUGAGGAGGAAGCUCCGGCUAACUACGUGCCAGCAGCCGCGGUAAUACGUAGGGAGCGAGCGUUGUCCGGAAUUACUGGGUGUAAAGGGAGCGUAGGCGGGAUCGCAAGUCAGAUGUGAAAACUAUGGGCUUAACCCAUAAACUGCAUUUGAAACUGUGGUUCUUGAGUGAAGUAGAGGUAAGCGGAAUUCCUAGUGUAGCGGUGAAAUGCGUAGAUAUUAGGAGGAACAUCAGUGGCGAAGGCGGCUUACUGGGCUUUAACUGACGCUGAGGCUCGAAAGCGUGGGGAGCAAACAGGAUUAGAUACCCUGGUAGUCCACGCCGUAAACGAUGAUUACUAGGUGUGGGGGGACUGACCCCUUCCGUGCCGCAGCAAACGCAGUAAGUAAUCCACCUGGGGAGUACGACCGCAAGGUUGAAACUCAAAGGAAUUGACGGGGGCCCGCACAAGCAGUGGAGUAUGUGGAUUAAUUCGAAGCAACGCGAAGAACCUUACCAGGUCUUGACAUCGUAUGCAUAGCUCAGAGAUGAGUGAAAUCUCUUCGGAGACAUAUAGACAGGUGGUGCAUGGUUGUCGUCAGCUCGUGUCGUGAGAUGUUGGGUUAAGUCCCGCAACGAGCGCAACCCUUACUGUUAGUUGCUACGCAGGAGCACUCUAGCAGGACUGCCGUUGACAAAACGGAGGAAGGUGGGGAUGACGUCAAAUCAUCAUGCCCCUUAUGACCUGGGCCUCACACGUACUACAAUGGCUGUCAACAGAGGGAAGCAAAGCCGCGAGGUGGAGCGAACCCCUAAAAGCAGUCUUAGUUCGGAUUGUAGGCUGCAACCCGCCUACAUGAAGUCGGAAUUGCUAGUAAUCGCAGAUCAGCAUGCUGCGGUGAAUACGUUCCCGGGCCUUGUACACACCGCCCGUCACGCCAUGGGAGUCGGUAACACCCGAAGCCUGUAGUCUAACCGCAAGGAGGACGCAGUCGAAGGUGGGAUUGAUGACUGGGGUGAAGUCGAAACAAGGUA
rnacentral:rRNA from 1 species